UUUUAUUUUCCUUUUUCUUACCAUUUCUUUCCUCCUCCUCCUCUCCCUCUUCCUCCUUUGUCCGUUUCCCUUAGACCGCGCAAUCCAAGGGUAGGAUAUCCCUCCUCCCUCCCCUCCUCAAGUGGCCAGAGGGCGUGCGGUGAACGAACCUGAGAGUCAAUCUCUCAACCUAAGGGUUUCCCUAGUUGGACAUUCUCUGGUGAUGUCGAAGACAGACUUAUUCCUGAGGUCAGCAGUGUGACCUUGAUUCUAGGAAAGUAUAAUUAUGUCGAUCACAAACUAUUCAAUAAUGUCGAUGAUACGUGCAGGAUUGCAAUCGAUGACAACCGAAUUGUCUCUGGAUUUUCAACCAGAGCAAAGUUGGUAAUUAUUAUGCACCUAGAGAUGGGCGCUUGUGGGAUGCAGAGAUUGCUAGAUUGAAGGACGGGCUCAUCCCUCAAGCACACGAUCACAGGUUAUUCCAGGGGAGACUAGGAUGAGAGUAGAGAGGGUGAGGACAGCGAGGGUGAUGGCUGCGAGGAUCCGUAACUGUAUUUUCAGAAUUUUAAAACUAGAAUGUAAAUAUUCUUUUUUGAUUAUUAACCCCCAUGUGUGUGAAUGUGAAGGAUCUAUACUUUUUUUUAG